rnacentral:rRNA from 1 species
AUUGAACGAUGGCGGCAGGCUUAACACAUGCAAGUCGAGCGGGGGAAGGUAGCUUGCUACCGGACCUAGCGGCGGACGGGUGAGUAAUGCUUAGGAAUCUGCCUAUUAGUGGGGGACAACAUCUCGAAAGGGAUGCUAAUACCGCAUACGUCCUACGGGAGAAAGCAGGGGAUCUUCGGACCUUGCGCUAAUAGAUGAGUCUAAGUCGGAUUAGCUAGUUGGUGGGGUAAAGGCCUACCAAGGCGACGAUCUGUAGCGGGUCUUAGAGGAUGAUCCGCCACACUGGGACUGAGACACGGCCCAGACGCCUACGGGAGGCAGCAGUGGGGAAUAUUGGACAAUGGGGGGAACCCUGAUCCAGCCAUGCCGCGUGUGUGAAGAAGGCCUUAUGGUUGUAAAGCACUUUAAGCGAGGAGGAGGCUACUUUAGUUAAUACCUAGAGAUAGUGGACGUUACUCGCAGAAUAGGCACCGGCUAACUCUGUGCCAGCAGCCGCGGUAA